rnacentral:rRNA from 1 species
UCGAGCGAAGCGGCUGAAUUGAUUCUUCGGAUGAUUUUCAGUUGACUGAGCGGCGGACGGGUGAGUAACGCGUGGGUGACCUGCCCCAUACCGGGGGAUAACAGCUGGAAACGGCUGCUAAUACCGCAUAAGCGCACAGAGCUGCAUGGCUCGGUGUGAAAAACUCCGGUGGUAUGGGAUGGGCCCGCGUCUGAUUAGGCAGUUGGCGGGGUAACGGCCCACCAAACCGACGAUCAGUAGCCGGCCUGAGAGGGCGACCGGCCACAUUGGGACUGAGACACGGCCCAAACUCCUACGGGAGGCAGCAGUGGGGAAUAUUGCACAAUGGGGGAAACCCUGAUGCAGCGACGCCGCGUGAGCGAAGAAGUAUUUCGGUAUGUAAAGCUCUAUCAGCAGGGAAGAUAAUGACGGUACCUGACUAAGAAGCCCCGGCUAACUACGUGCCAGCAGCCGCGGUAAUACGUAGGGGGCAAGCGUUAUCCGGAUUUACUGGGUGUAAAGGGAGCGUAGACGGCAAGGCAAGUCUGAUGUGAAAACCCAGGGCUUAACCCUGGGACUGCAUUGGAAACUGUCUGGCUCGAGUGCCGGAGAGGUAAGCGGAAUUCCUAGUGUAGCGGUGAAAUGCGUAGAUAUUAGGAAGAACACCAGUGGCGA